rfam:Trichosporon oleaginosus strain IBC0246 unplaced genomic scaffold CC85scaffold_32, whole genome shotgun sequence.
GGCAACUUGGCGGAGUGGUUAACGCGAUUGACUCGAAUGUUCCAGCAUCACUAGCUAGACAUCAUUGAUCAAUUUCCUUCGGGAGCGCAUGUUCGAAUCAUGCAGUUGUCG